rnacentral:rRNA from 1 species
UGAACGCUAGCUACAGGCUUCACACAUGCAAGUCGAGGGGAAACGACAUCGAAAGCUUGCUUUUGAUGGGCGUCGACCGGCGCACGGGUGAGUAACGCGUAUCCAACCUGCCCAUCACUUGGGAAUAACCUUGCGAAAGUAAGACUAAUACCCAAUGAUAUCCCACGAAGGCAUCGGAAUGGGAUUAAAGAUUUAUCGGUGAUGGAUGGGGAUGCGUCUGAUUAGCUUGUUGGCGGGGUAACGGCCCACCAAGGCAACGAUCAGUAGGGGUUCUGAGAGGAAGGUCCCCCACAUUGGAACUGAGACACGGUCCAAACUCCUACGGGAGGCAGCAGUGAGGAAUAUUGGUCAAUGGGCGAGAGCCUGAACCAGCCAAGUAGCGUGCAGGAAGACGGCCCUAUGGGUUGUAAACUGCUUUUAUAAGGGAAUAAAGUGGGUCACGUGUGACUUUUUGCAUGUACCUUAUGAAUAAGGACCGGCUAAUUCCGUG